UUGGCUAAAGCCACGUGACCAAUGGCGUCAGAAGCUCCAGUCGCAACAUCACUACUUCUGCAUCCGAGUCGAAGUCUCAAAAUACACGAAUCAUUGGUUAGGGUUCAUAGUGCGUUUCAGUGGAAAAACCUACACUAUGGGAGCAGUACCGUACGGCUGUGAGAAGUUUAGGCCUGUACAGUGGCUGUCAAACAUCAGGCCAGCGAAUGAAAACCCUGAGUGCAGCUGUGUGUUGAAUGGAGGGAGACGAGACACCGUGGUGAGGACCCCACAACACUUACAUGUGACCAGGAGCACUGGGGCAUAUUAAUGCAUGUUUGUUAUGAGGGUUUUGUGAGUACCUAAAUUGAGUGAGAAGAAGCACUCAUUGCACUUAGUCUGCUUUCCCACUAGAGGCCCCUGUCCACCAAUUCAAGUGUUGACUACGAGGGCAGUAUUCAGUAGAAUCUGAAAUUUUAAGCACUUUGUUUUGAAGUAACUUCAUUAAUUACGAUGUGACCCAGUUGCUUCUUUAAUUUAAAUCACUUGACUACUUUUGUUCUGUGACACAGACUCCUGGGGGAUAUUGUUCACUUCUUUUUUCUUUUUUUUUCCUCCCCUGAUUAUUUACACCAAAGUUAAA